rnacentral:rRNA from 1 species
UACAGAGGGUGCGAGCGUUAAUCGGAAUUACUGGGCGUAAAGCGUGCGUAGACGGUUUCGUAAGUCGGGUGUGAAAGCCCCGGGCUCAACCUGGGAAUUGCAUUCGAGACUGCGUAGCUAGGGUGCGGAAGAGGGAAGCGGAAUUUCCGGUGUAGCGGUGAAAUGCGUAGAUAUUGGGAAGAACACCGGUGGCGAAGGCGGCGACCUGGUCCAUUACUGACGCUGAGGCGCGACAGCGUGGGGAGCAAACAGG